rnacentral:rRNA from 1 species
CAGGCCUAACACAUGCAAGUCGACCGUGGAAGGGUAGCGUGGUACCUCACCUAGCGGCGGACGGGUGAGUCAUGCCCAGGAAUCUGCCUAUUAGUGGGGGACAACAUUCCGACAGGAAUGAUAAUACCGCAUACGCCGUACGGGGGAAAGCAGGGGAUUUUCGGACCUUGCGCUAAUAGAUGAGCUUAAAUCGGAUUCGCUAUUUGGUAGGCUAAAGGCCUACCAAGCCGACGAUCUGUAGCGGGUCUGAGCGCAUGAUCCGCCACACUGGGAAUGAGACACGGCCCAGACUCGUACGGGAGGCAGCAGUGGGGAAUAUUGGACUAUGGGGGGAUCCCUGAUCCAACCAUGCCGCGAGUGUGAAGCAGGCCUUUUGGUUGUCCAGCACUUUAAGCGAGGAGGAGGCUACCUAGACUCAUACUUUAGGAUAGUGGACGUUACUCGCAGCAUAAGCACCGGCUAACUCUGUGCCAGCAGCCGCGGUAAU